UGGGGAAUUUUGGACAAUGGGCGAAAGCUUGAUCCAGCAAUGCCGCGUGUGUGAAGAAGGCCUUCGGGUUGUAAAGCACUUUUGUCCGGAAAGAAAAUCCUUGGGCUCUAAUACAGUCGGGGGAUGACGGUACCGGAAGAAUAAGCACCGGCUAACUACGUGCCAGCAGCCGCGGUAAUACGUAGGGUGCAAGCGUUAAUCGGAAUUACUGGGCGUAAAGCGUGCGCAGGCGGUUUGCUAAGACCGAUGUGAAAUCCCCGGGCUCAACCUGGGAACUGCAUUGGUGACUGGCAGGCUAGAGUAUGGCAGAGGGGGGUAGAAUUCCACGUGUAGCAGUGAAAUGCGUAGAGAUGUGGAGGAAUACCGAUGGCGAAGGCAGCCCCCUGGGCCAAUACUGACGCUCAUGCACGAAAGCGUGGGGAGCAAAACAGGAUUAGAUACCCUGGUAGUCCACGCCCUAAAACGAUGUCAACUAGUUGUUGGGGAUUCAUUUCCUUAGUAACGUAGCUAACGCGUGAAGUUGACCGCCUGGGGAGUACGGUCGCAAGAUUAAAACUU
rnacentral:rRNA from 1 species